UACGGGGGGAGCAAGCGUUGUUCGGAUUUACUGGGCGUAAAGGGCACGUAGGCGGCGCAACAAGUCACUUGUGAAAUCUCCGGGCUUAACUCGGAGCGGUCAAGUGAUACUGUCGUGCUAGAGUGCGGAAGGGGCAACUGGAAUUCUCGGUGUAGCGGUGAAAUGCGUAGAUAUCGGGAGGAACACCAGAGGCGAAGGCGGCGAACUGGACAGCAACUGGCACUCAAUUGCGAAAGCGUGGGGAGCAAACAGG
rnacentral:rRNA from 1 species